rnacentral:snoRNA from 1 species
CCCUGUAUAAAAAGUGACAAUGGCAUGAUUGUUGCCAUAGUCAUUGAUAGUACAGGAACCAUGACUUUGAGAUUGUCCCAUGUUUGUUGGAAUACCAGUAUCUGUCAAACCCUAUAUCUUUAAAA